AUUAUAUUAAAAAGACUGCUCUUAGAACUUUCUGACUGCCAUUGUUUUGGGGAAAUAAGAAAUAAGAAUAAUAAGAAAUAAGAAUAAUUUCACCAAGUAUCUCACAAUGUGUAUAUUUAGAUUUUUUAAAGUCAGACACCAUUUUAAUCAGGAAAAUCACCUCCUUCUAAUGACAUACAGCGUACAGCGUCGCGCAGCAUGCAGCGUACUCUGCUGUCAUCGAUCGCUAGAUUAGAAAUAGUCAGAAAUUGCCUUUUUUUUCUCUACCUCUUUGUUAUGCGGACAUAAGCACACUUGGCACCAUAAAGGUUCUACAGUCUCUCCCAUUGGUGGUCUGGGCGCAGCUGGGGCAGAAGAGGAAGCCACCCCUGCUGGUCUAUGAGACUUUGUGCGACCUAACUGGCCUGGCGUGUUAAGGUGCCGUAUAAGUGAAGACUGAGCAGCUCUGUGGACAUGGCUGAAGGAUGUGUGUGGUCUGAUGAAGCUGAGGGGGAAGUUCCAGCUAAGAGGACAGGAUAACACUGCCAUGGGGGCCCGCAGAGAGCUGGAUGGAAUGGUCCACUCAAAGUGGGUGAGCGAUGGGGCUGAAGCGACCAAGAUGGGGCCACCUGAUGUCCCAGGUCUACAAGGAGAGAGGAAACAGUGGAUGGAGACGACAACAAGAAUGGCCCUGGCUGCCCUAGGACACCAUGUGGGAGAGCUGCUAGCUAGAAGGAAUUGGAGACCUUUAUGUUCAAGGGGACUUUGUUUGUUUUGAGUAAAUAUGGGGGGUUUAUUUAAAAAAGUGCUUUUGCUAACCGGUGUGUGAAACAUAAUAUUGCACGUGUGUCAUUUUGGGAGUUUGCCCAAAGGAGAACUCCAACUGCAUACUCAUGUCCUUUCUCAAAGAGAAAAAGGGUAUAAUGAAAUGAAGCAUUCUAAGUGAAUUGUGAAAACGAGUUGAGAAUGUGUUGAAACUUGAUUACAGAAACGAAACCAUGUCUUCUGAAAAUAAAUCUUGAAAUCUGU